GGGUGUGUAGCUCAGUGGUAGAGCAUUCGACUGCAGAUCGAGAGGUCCGUUGUUCAACUCCGCGUGCAUCCU
rnacentral:tRNA from 1 species